rnacentral:lncRNA from 1 species
UUAAAUGUUUUUGGGCUUCUCGUGACUUUUUUGGGCCUUAACACUUCCAAAGAGACAGCUUGGUGUGGAGUCUUUGGAGGGCACUAGUUUGUGACUUGGAGAAGACGUAGAAAGUGGAUUCUACCACCAUCACUUGGUGGAAUACUUGGACUCAAGUUGCGCUGGAUGGGUGAGUUUUUAUCUACCUUUAUCUCUUUAUUUUCAUGUAUGGUGUCUUAUGUUGCACAUCAAUCUUUU